rnacentral:rRNA from 1 species
ACUCAAAGGAAUUGACGGGGAGGCACACAACCAGUGGAACAUGUGGUUCAAUUCGAGACAAACCGAAGAACCUCACCAGGGUUUGACAUGCUAGCGUUCUAGUCUGAUGAAAGUCGGAUGAGUCCGCAAGGAGGCUAGCACAGGUGCUGCAUGGCUGUCGUCAGUUCGUUCCGUGAGGAGUGCCCUUAAGUGGGACAACGAACGCAACCCCCAUCUUGUGUUAAAUUUGUCACAAGAGACUGCCUCGAUUUUAUCGGGGAGGAAGGCGGGGCAGACGUCAAGUCAGCAUGGUCCUUAUACCCUGGGCCACACACAUGUUACAAUGAAUAGAACAAUGAGCUCUGCUAGAUCGCAAGGUUAAGCGAAUCUCUGAAAUCUAUUCUCAGUGGGGAUUAGGGUCUGCAACUCGACCCUAUGAACUCGGAAUUGGUAGUAAUCGCAGAUCAGUCAUGCCGCGGUGAAUACGUUCUUGCCUCUUGCACACACCGCCCGU